CCAACCUAAAAGCGAAACGACAUCGUUCCUUCUCCACCCCAAACUCUCUCCCUCUUGCGACGGAAAACCAAAACCCUUAGCAGAGUCGCAUCGUUCUUUGUCCCUUCUCCAUCUAAAUCGAGAAUUCAUCAAUCUCUCUCUCUUAUUUCUCGUGUCUCAAGUCUCUCUGUCCCUCAUUGUGAUUGAAACCCCUCCAAAACCCCUAAGUCGAGAAUCACAUCGUUUUUUUCUUUGUGCGACUUUUGCACUAUCUACCUGCGAGGCCACUAGUUGAGACUAGCAUCACUCUCUUUCUUGAUCUUCUACCUGAUAUCCCUUUAUGGAUGAAGAAUCCUGACUAUGAAAGAGUGGACUGGCUCGGCUCCACAGAUUUAUCUCAUACAUGUGGCCCUACCUUGAUAAUGUUCUCUUUGUUUCCUGCUUCUUAUCAAUUUAUGCUUCUGUAUAUAAGCUUUAGUUUUUCAUUCUCAUGUUUAUAGGUUGUUUGCAAGAUUAUUCGGAGCUCCGCACAACCCAUAUUGCAGAUUACAUUGAUACUUUCUGUAUAGAAUCCAUUGAGUUCGAGAAACUGAGCCUUUCACCCACAGUUCAU